UGGGGGGGGGGGGCUUAUCUGCAGUCGAGCGAACUGAUUAGAAGCUUGCUUCUAUGACGUUAGCGGCGGACGGGUGAGUAACACGUGGGCAACCUGCCUGUAAGACUGGGAUAACUUCGGGAAACCGAAGCUAAUACCGGAUAGGAUCUUCUCCUUCAUGGGAGAUGAUUGAAAGAUGGUUUCGGCUAUCACUUACAGAUGGGCCCGCGGUGCAUUAGCUAGUUGGUGAGGUAACGGCUCACCAAGGCAACGAUGCAUAGCCGACCUGAGAGGGUGAUCGGCCACACUGGGACUGAGACACGGCCCAGACUCCUACGGGAGGCAGCAGUAGGGAAUCUUCCGCAAUGGACGAAAGUCUGACGGAGCAACGCCGCGUGAGUGAUGAAGGCUUUCGGGUCGUAAAACUCUGUUGUUAGGGAAGAACAAGUACGAGAGUAACUGCUCGUACCUUGACGGUACCUAACCAGAAAGCCACGGCUAACUACGUGCCAGCAGCCGCGGUAAUACGUAGGUGGCAAGCGUUAUCCGGAAUUAUUGGGCGUAAAGCGCGCGCAGGCGGUUUCUUAAGUCUGAUGUGAAAGCCCACGGCUCAACCGUGGAGGGUCAUUGGAAACUGGGGAACUUGAGUGCAGAAGAGAAAAGCGGAAUUCCACGUGUAGCGGUGAAAUGCGUAGAGAUGUGGAGGAACACCAGUGGCGAAGGCGGCUUUUUGGUCUGUAACUGACGCUGAGGCGCGAAAGCGUGGGGAGCAAACAGGGAUUAGAUACCUUGGGUAGUCCA
rnacentral:rRNA from 2 species